rnacentral:rRNA from 1 species
GACGAACGCUGGCGGCGUGCUUAACACAUGCAAGUCGAACGGAAAGGCCCUGCUUGCAGGGUACUCGAGUGGCGAACGGGUGAGUAACACGUGGGUGAUCUGCCCUGCACUUCGGGUUAAGCCAGGGAAACUGGGCCUAAUACCGGAUAGGAGCCAUUUUUAGUGUGAUGGUUGGAAAGUUUUUUCGGUGUUGGAUGAGCCCGCGGCCUAUCAGCUUGUUGGUGGGGUAAUGGCCUACCAAGGCGGCGACGGGUAGCCGGCCUGAGAGGGUGGACGGCCACAUUGGGACUGAGAUACGGACCAGACUCCUACGGGAGGCAGCAGUGGGGAAUAUUGCACAAUGGGCGCAAGCCUGAUGCAGCGACGCCGCGUGGGGGAUGACGGCCUUCGGGUUGUAAACUCCUUUCGCUAGGGACGAAGCUUUUGUGACGGUACCUAGAUAAGAAGCACCGGCUAACUACGUG